rnacentral:rRNA from 1 species
GACGAACGCUGGCGGCGUGCCUAACACAUGCAAGUUGAGCGACGAACCAGGGCUUGCCCUGGGGCAAAGCAGCGAACGGGUGAGUAACACGUGGGUAACCUACCCCGAUAACCGGGACAACCCGAGGAAACUCGGGCUAAUACUGGAUGUGCUCGCCGGACCCAAGUCCGGCGCGUAAAGGAAGCUUCGGCCUCCGUAUCGGGAGGGGCCCGCGGCCCAUUAGUUAGUUGGUGAGGUAACGGCUCACCAAGACCGCGAUGGGUAGCUGGUCUGAGAGGACGAUCAGCCACACUGGGACUGAGACACGGCCCAGACUCCUACGGGAGGCAGCAGUGGGGAAUCUUGCGCAAUGGGCGAAAGCCUGACGCAGCGACGCCGCGUGAGGGAUGACGGCCUUC